AGAGUUUGAUCCUGGCUCAGGAUGAACGCUGGCGGCGUGCCUAAUACAUGCAAGUCGAGCGAACGGACGAGAAGCUUGCUUCUCUGAUGUUAGCGGCGGACGGGUGAGUAACACGUGGAUAACCUACCUAUAAGACUGGGAUAACUUCGGGAAACCGGAGCUAAUACCGGAUAAUAUUUUGAACCGCAUGGUUCAAAAGUGAAAGACGGUCUUGCUGUCACUUAUAGAUGGAUCCGCGCUGCAUUAGCUAGUUGGUAAGGCAACGGCUUACCAAGGCAACGAUGCAUAGCCGACCUGAGAGGGUGAUCGGCCACACUGGAACUGAGACACGGUCCAGACUCCUACGGGAGGCAGCAGUAGGGAAUCUUCCGCAAUGGGCGAAAGCCUGACGGAGCAACGCCGCGUGAGUGAUGAAGGUCUUCGGAUCGUAAAACUCUGUUAUUAGGGAAGAACAUAUGUGUAAGUAACUGUGCACAUCUUGACGGUACCUAAUCAGAAAGCCACGGCUAACUACGUGCCAGCAGCCGCGGUAAUACGUAGGUGGCAAGCGUUAUCCGGAAUUAUUGGGCGUAAAGCGCGCGUAGGCGGUUUUUUAAGUCUGAUGUGAAAGCCCACGGCUCAACCGUGGAGGGUCAUUGGAAACUGGAAAACUUGAGUGCAGAAGAGGAAAGUGGAAUUCCAUGUGUAGCGGUGAAAUGCGCAGAGAUAUGGAGGAACACCAGUGGCGAAGGCGACUUUCUGGUCUGUAACUGACGCUGAUGUGCGAAAGCGUGGGGAUCAAACAGGAUUAGAUACCCUGGUAGUCCACGCCGUAAACGAUGAGUGCUAAGUGUUAGGGGGUUUCCGCCCCUUAGUGCUGCAGCUAACGCAUUAAGCACUCCGCCUGGGGAGUACGACCGCAAGGUUGAAACUCAAAGGAAUUGACGGGGACCCGCACAAGCGGUGGAGCAUGUGGUUUAAUUCGAAGCAACGCGAAGAACCUUACCAAAUCUUGACAUCCUUUGACAACUCUAGAGAUAGAGCCUUCCCCUUCGGGGGACAAAGUGACAGGUGGUGCAUGGUUGUCGUCAGCUCGUGUCGUGAGAUGUUGGGUUAAGUCCCGCAACGAGCGCAACCCUUAAGCUUAGUUGCCAUCAUUAAGUUGGGCACUCUAAGUUGACUGCCGGUGACAAACCGGAGGAAGGUGGGGAUGACGUCAAAUCAUCAUGCCCCUUAUGAUUUGGGCUACACACGUGCUACAAUGGACAAUACAAAGGGCAGCGAAACCGCGAGGUCAAGCAAAUCCCAUAAAGUUGUUCUCAGUUCGGAUUGUAGUCUGCAACUCGACUACAUGAAGCUGGAAUCGCUAGUAAUCGUAGAUCAGCAUGCUACGGUGAAUACGUUCCCGGGUCUUGUACACACCGCCCGUCACACCACGAGAGUUUGUAACACCCGAAGCCGGUGGAGUAACCUUUUAGGAGCUAGCCGUCGAAGGUGGGACAAAUGAUUGGGGUGAAGUCGUAACAAGGUAGCCGUAUCGGAAGGUGCGGCUGGAUCACCU
rnacentral:rRNA from 2 species